CUGGAUUCAGAAUAUUGUUGCAUGCAUGUGGUUCAACCAACUGAGGUGGGGAAUCAAGGAAGGAUUGGGAGGAGAAAGGAGCCGAUCGCCAACAGAGAUCGCGUUAAGCAGAAUAUGAUUUACUUUCUGUCCAAUUGUCUUUGAUUUACACGUUUGUGGAAGACAAUAAAAUAACUUCCUUGUGGAAGAAGCAAAACCUGUGUCCAGCGCUCCAUCGAACCCGUUACAGUGGCGCCCAACGUGGGGCGAGCGUACAGAAAUGGACCAGUCCCCAUUGGAAAACGUGCUCGGGCACCUAGCCCAGAUGGCGGAGAGACAAGGCCAGCUCCACCAGGCGCAGAACGAGGCGCUCACGGACCUGGCACAAUCCUUGGCCGCCGAUCGGGCCAUGCUCCGGGAGCUCCUCGCCUCCGGCGGACGCGGCGAAGGGCCCCGGGGGGCGGGACCCGCGACGAGCAUACACGUCCCGAAGAUGGGGGAGGCAGACGACGCGGAAGCCUUCCUCGAGACCUUCCAGGGGGUGGCCGAGGUCUCAGGGUGGCCCCGCCCGGAGUGGGCGCACGUCUCCUGCCGCUCCUAACAGGAGAGGCGCAGCUUGCGGCCCACAGUCUGCCGGCUGGGGCCCAGCGGGACU
ensembl:lncRNA